rnacentral:lncRNA from 1 species
AUUGAUCUUUUUUACUAUAAUUUCUCGAUGUCUUUUCCAGAUUUGUCAUUGUCUACUCAAUUCUCAUCUGUUAUAUUGGUUUCACCGGAUGUACAGCAAGCAGGAAAUCUUCGGGUGUGGUUUUGUUGUUUUUAUGUUUUGAAGUUGUUUCCUUUUUUGUUGUGUCCUGUUGUGCUUUUAGGCUUUAUUAUGUUUUGUCUUUGACAGAUCAGUAUACUUUGUUUAGGUUCCAGGGGAAAAGUUCGCAAUUGAUUCGGAUGCUUCAUGAACGGAGUUAUGCUAACCCAUGUGUAUUGUUGCCUCUGGUUACUUUUAAUCAUAUAAGUCCAAUCUCAUCGAUUUCUCAAGCAACUAAAUUUGUGAGUGUGCCAUUGAUUUUUCUGGAGGUGCGGCUUUUUCUCCCUCUAAUCUUUUUUGUUUUGUUAGCUAAAUCAGCUAAUACCCAUUUUUUUUUAUUUUUAUGUAUGUUUCUGACUGUAGGAUAUGGGAACUGCUUGGAUAAAGGGUAGAGUGUCUCUUGAGUAUAUGAUGGGUAGACUAUGGUACUUGGCCUGCCCACAUUGUUAUCUUCCUAACGAUUUUGCUUUGAAUUGGGGGAUCAUGUGUGUGGGCGAGCGAUUUAUAUUUACCCAAGGUAUAAUGUUUUUAUGUUGGUUACUGUAAAUUUUUUUAUGUGUUGUUUCUAUAGUUGCCUGAUCUAGGGAAUUAUUGCCUUUGCUUUUUCUUUGUGCUGAGUUGUUUAUAAAUUUGUAAUGUAAGGGCUUGCGUGACUCUUAUGAUCACGGAUGAGACUGGAUCUUUGAAUGUAGUAGCCAUGGGAGACAAGGCUGAAAAGUUGAUUGGUAUUAGUGUUCACUGUUUAUUUCAAGCGCAGCAAGAGGUACUUCUUUUUUCUUGGCUUAGCUAUAAAAGUGAAAAAUUAUCUUGUGUGACCAAUUAUUUGUCAUGCCAAUGAGUUGUUGUAUUCAAUUGGUUGAUAGAAUGUGCAUCUUACUGAUCGUGUUGCAAGUGAACUCGAGGGAAAAGUUUUGUUGUGAGGGCUGUGAAGGGUGCUCUAUAUACAAUUGUCACUGUCUACGACGCAAAUGAAAUUGGAAGCAAUACUUGCUGAUGCCUUUUAGAUGUUUAUCUAAUUUGCCACUCUUUGUAUUUGGUUGUGUCAACUAUAGUUUAUGAGACAUUAGACUUUAUUUGCUGGUUGUAAUUAGGUUGAGUUAUGGUGAACUUGUAAUGUUGUUGGUUCAUGGAUUAUGUUUCUUUUUGAAUCUGUAUGUAUUUGGAUAUUAAUCCAAUGUUAACUGCUCCUAUCAUGGCUGUCAACAAAUGUAAUUACCACUCUUGUUGAAGUAAUGGACAUGUCCAUUAGAAAGGGUAUACCAAAUGUAAGAUUCUUUAGUGUUAUUUUUGUUUUGUUCUUAUUUUAUCAUGGCCUGAAACCAUGCUCACUAAACUAUAAUUUUCUUGUAUAUUUAUUGUGAAGAGAAAGUAAAAAAUCAGACUUAGUUGUCAUUACUAUGAUGUUUGAAGAUUUAUUUUCUCUUUGUUAAAUUGAAUACAUUUGCCUUCUUAAGCUUAGAAAUUAUGUCCAACGCCAUGUCCAAAGAUAAUAUUAUUU